rnacentral:rRNA from 1 species
CCUACGGGGGGCAGCAGUGGGGAAUUUUGGACAAUGGGCGAAAGCCUGAUCCAGCAAUGCCGCGUGUGCGAAGAAGGCCUUCGGGUUGUAAAGCACUUUUGUCAGGGAAGAAAGUGUCUGGGCUAAUACCCCGGGCAUUUGACGGUACCUGAAGAAUAAGCACCGGCUAACUACGUGCCAGCAGCCGCGGUAAUACGUAGGGUGCAAGCGUUAAUCGGAAUUACUGGGCGUAAAGCGUGCGCAGGUGGUUUGUUAAGACAGUUGUGAAAUCCCCGGGCUU